rnacentral:rRNA from 1 species
GGAUGAAUAUUGGUCAAUGGACGCAAGUCUGAACCAGCCAUGCCGCGUGCAGGAAGAAGGUGCUAUGCAUUGUAAACUGCUUUUAUACGGGGGUAAUUACAGAUACGUGUAUCUGGUUGAAAGUACCGUAUGAAUAAGGAUCGGCUAACUCCGUGCCAGCAGCCGCGGUAAUACGGAGGAUCCGAGCGUUAUCCGGAUUUAUUGGGUUUAAAGGGUGCGUAGGCGGUCAGGUAAGUUAGAGGUGAAAGCUCGAUGCUCAACAUCGAAACUGCCUCUGAUACUGUCUGACUAGAGUGUAGUUGCGGAAGGCGGAAUGUGUGGUGUAGCGGUGAAAUGCUUAGAUAUCACACAGAACACCGAUUGCGAAGGCAGCUUUCCAAGCUAUUACUGACGCUGAGGCACGAAAGCGUGGGGAGCGAACAGGAUUAGAUACC